GCCGGGUGUAGUGGUGUGCACCUGUAGUCUCAGCUACUCAGGAGGCUGAGGCAGGAGGAUCUCUUGAGCCCAGGAGGUCAAGGCUGCAUUGAGCCAUGUUCACGCCACUGCACUCUAGCCUAGGCAACAGAGUGAGACCCUGUCUCAA
ensembl:misc_RNA Metazoa_SRP Metazoan signal recognition particle RNA